rnacentral:sRNA from 1 species
UGUCCGGGCAGAAGUUCCCUGCCACACA